rnacentral:rRNA from 1 species
UACAGAGGGGGCAAGCGUUGUUCGGAAUUACUGGGCGUAAAGGGCGCGUAGGCGGCCUUCUAAGUCGGACGUGAAAUCCCUCGGCUCAACCGAGGAACUGCGUCCGAUACUGGUUGGCUUGAAUUCGGGAGAGGGAUGCGGAAUUCCAGGUGUAGCGGUGAAAUGCGUAGAUAUCUGGAGGAACACCGGUGGCGAAGGCGGCAUCCUGGACCGAUAUUGACGCUGAUGCGCGAAAGCCAGGGGAGCAAACGGG